GCUAGCUCAGUCAAGGUAGAGCAUGAGACUUUAAUCUCAGAGUUGUGGGUUCAUGCCCCACGCA
rnacentral:tRNA from 1 species